AGCUCCAAUAGCGUAUAUAAAAGUUGUUGCGGUUAAAAAGCUCGUAGUUGGAUCUCGGCAGGUAGGGGGCGGAUCUAUCCUGUAGACUCUGCCCCAUUUACCUGUGUUUUUGACGGAGGUGGCAGAGUGCUCUUAAACGGGUGUUCUGAAACACCGUCAGGUUUACUUUGAAAAAAUUAGAGUGCUCAAAGCAGGCUAUCAUGCUUGAAUAUUUGUGCAUGGAAUAAUGGAAUAGGAAGUCGUUUCUAUUUUGUUGGUUUUCGGAAAUUGACUUAAUGAUUAAUAGGGACAGCCGGGGGUAUUAGUAUUCAGACGACAGAGGUGAAAUUCUUGGACCGUCUGAAGACUAACUACUGCGAAAGCAUUUGCCAAGAGUGUUUUCA
rnacentral:rRNA from 1 species